rnacentral:rRNA from 1 species
UAGGGAAUAUUGGACAAUGGACGAAAGUCUGAUCCAGCCAUGCCGCGUGCAGGAUGAAGGUCCUAUGGAUCGUAAACUGCUUUUAUCAGGGAAGAAAAACUGGGAUUCAUCCCGGCUUGACGGUACCUGAGGAAUAAGCCACGGCUAACUACGUGCCAGCAGCCGCGGUAAUACGUAGGUGGCAAGCGUUAUCCGGAAUCACUGGGUUUAAAGGGUGCGUAGGUGGGUGUUUAAGUGAGUGGUGAAAGCUCCCGGCUUAACCGGGAAAUUGCCAUUCAUACUGGAUACCUUGAGUACAGUUGAGGUGGGCGGAAUGUGUCAUGUAGCGGUGAAAUGCUUAGAUAUGACACAGAACACCGAUUGCGAAGGCAGCUCGCUAAACUGUAACUGACACUGAGGCACGAAAGCGUGGGGAUCAAACAG